AACGACUCUCGGCAACGGAUAUCUCGGCUCUCGCAUCGAUGAAGAACGUAGCGAAAUGCGAUACUUGGUGUGAAUUGCAGAAUCCCGUGAACCAUCGAGUCUUUGAACGCAAGUUGCGCCCGAAGCCGUCAGGCCGAGGGCACGUCUGGCUGGGUGUCACGCAACG
rnacentral:rRNA from 2 species